AUAUACUCUUCUUCAUUUUCUACAAUGCACUUCCAUCUAUCUGGUAGGCUUUCAGGGCCUCUCUUCCAAAAUUCACUUGUUCGUGACGAAAAUACUCACCCAGUACUGUUGUGAUCUCGUCUACAGAAUUCAUAUUUGUUUCCCGUCCA